rnacentral:rRNA from 1 species
AACGAACGCUGGCGGCAGGCUUAACACAUGCAAGUCGAACGAGAUCUUCGGACCCAGUGGCAGACGGGUGAGGAACACGUGGGAACAUCCCUUUAAGAUCGGAUUAACGUUGGGAAACUAACGUUAAUAACGGAUACGUCCUUCGGGAGAAAGAUUUAUCGCUGAAAGAUUGGCCCGCGUCUGAUUAGCUAGUUGGUGAGGUAAUGGCUAACAAAGGCUACGAUCAGUAGCUGCUCUGAGAGGAUGAUCAGCCACAUUGGGACUGAGACACGGCCCAAACUCCUACGGGAGGCAGCAGUGGGGAAUAUUGUACGAUAGUCACAAGCCUGAUCCAGCCAUGCCGCGUGAGUGAUGAAGGCCUUCGGGUUGUAAAGCUCUUUUAUCCAGGAGGAUAAUGACUGUACCAGAAGAAUAAGCCCCGGCAAACUUCGUGCCAGCCGCCGCCGUAA